rnacentral:rRNA from 1 species
AUGGCUAAACCCAGCAAGAAGCUGAAGGUUAAUAAGCCGGCUGACGAUCCCAAGGUUGCUAAUCCGGAAAAACAGACAAUGUCUGAGUCUUUGUCUCAAACAUCUGAAGCGGCCAUGGAUGAUCUGCCGCCAGAGGAGCACCCUGUCAUCGUGGAUCCCAUGAAUGUUGAUCCCAAAAAUGCUAAGCCGCCCAUCCCCGCUCAGCCGGCUCAAGAAACCGAAGACGUCAUAGUUACUGGGACGUCUUACACAGCACCAGGUAAUCCCACCGUUUUGUCCAAGCACAUCGCCAAAGAGGAUUUCUCCACUGUUGACAAAGGCAAGUGGAAAUUGGAUCUAGAGAGCUAUGCUCAAUUCAACGCCCGGGAUCUUCACACGGGUUACUUGAACCGCCUCUAUACCAACCGUGACUUUGAAGCCGGCUUGGUUAAUCUCAUGAAAGAUCCUUUUGAGGCUGAACUAAAUAUGAAGGAAUCCCAAGUCAAUGAUCUAAGGCAAAACAUUCAAACCCAGCAAUCUGAGACUUCAAAGGCCAAACUAGAGCUGAAGACUGCUUUGGAAAAUAUUGAAAAACUAAAAAAGGACUUCAGUGCUGAUAGAACCGGCUGGGACACCGAAAAGGCAGCUCUAUUGAAAAGAGCAGAAGAUGCUGAAGCUGCCCUUAAGCCGGUAACCAACGAGUUAUCUGGUUUAAAGUAUCAAAUCAACAGCAUGACAGCUGCCAUCUUUGGCUCCAGAAGCUCCAAGCUGGGUCAAAACAUGCCCAUCCGGCUUAAGGCUGCAUAUGCUCUUGUGGAGCAGCUGUACACUGGUGCUCAACGGGCUAUAUUUGCCGCCUCCAUAAGAAACAACCACCUUCCCUCAUCAAGGAAGUGUUGGAAAAGUUGUUCGUGCUUCCACAAAGGGUUGAAGAUUUGA